AUAAUACUCUCUCCGUCCAGAAUUACUUGUCAUCAAAAUGGAUGAGAAUGGAUGUAUCUAGACUAAAAAACAUCUAGAUACAUCCAUUUCAAUGACAAGUAUUUUCGGAAGGAGAGAGUACUAG
rfam:Triticum urartu cultivar G1812 contig888126, whole genome shotgun sequence.